rnacentral:rRNA from 2 species
AGAGUUUGAUCAUGGCUCAGAGUGAACGCUGGCGGUAGGCCUAACACAUGCAAGUCGAACGGCAGCACAGGAGAGCUUGCUCUCUGGGUGGCGAGUGGCGGACGGGUGAGGAAUACAUCGGAAUCUACUCUGUCGUGGGGGAUAACGUAGGGAAACUUACGCUAAUACCGCAUACGACCUACGGGUGAAAGCAGGGGACCUUCGGGCCUUGCGCGAUUGAAUGAGCCGAUGUCGGAUUAGCUAGUUGGCGGGGUAAAGGCCCACCAAGGCGACGAUCCGUAGCUGGUCUGAGAGGAUGAUCAGCCACACUGGAACUGAGACACGGUCCAGACUCCUACGGGAGGCAGCAGUGGGGAAUAUUGGACAAUGGGCGCAAGCCUGAUCCAGCCAUACCGCGUGGGUGAAGAAGGCCUUCGGGUUGUAAAGCCCUUUUGUUGGGAAAGAAAUCCAGCUGGCUAAUACCCGGUUGGGAUGACGGUACCCAAAGAAUAAGCACCGGCUAACUUCGUGCCAGCAGCCGCGGUAAUACGAAGGGUGCAAGCGUUACUCGGAAUUACUGGGCGUAAAGCGUGCGU